GGACAGUGAUCGGUAAAGCGCCAUCAUAGAAACUUCGGGGAUCGAAAGGAGGGUGCAUUUUUCUUUUAGAAAAAAAUUAAAACAGCGAAACAUUACCUGGUUCAGCCGGAACAACGACCUGCCGCUGGAAAACGCGCGGAAACUGCCCAGAACCGCCGCCAUCUUCGCCCCGGCGCAGCCAACUUCCGGAUCUCGAGGCAUUGCUUCCGGAUCGCCGGCCAACGGUUCAUGGUUUGUUGAUAUUGAUAUUGAUUCGAGGUGAAUGUGGGCCUGCCCUGGAGAGGUAGCCCCCUUCCUCUUGGUACCGCGACUUUUGUUUCGUUACACUGAAACAUUCGCCUUGGAUCGUUUUCCUUUUCCAUCUCAAACCCUGGACUGGGACGUGAAUCAACGGACUUUGUGGUUUAGAAGCAAAUGUGGCGUCUACUAAACCACCGCUGACAGACGGCAGCGAGAGGGAAAGAAAUGUUACUACUGCUGGACAUAUUCCAGUGGCUCAGAGACCAUCUGCGGAGAAAAAGGCAAAGCUAACGUUUUAAGUUGUUGGACCUGUCAUCGGAAGAUGCGAGUGGAACCUGUAAUCGCAUACGUACAAAACAAAACAAAAAGUAAAUACACUGCACACUGCAGACUCCAGAUAAUUUGACUGGCUUUCCACAAUCCGACCCUCAACUGAAUUGGAAGUUUAACUCCUCUCAACAGUUCCUCAUUCUCUUAGCAGUCGGCGCAGGAAAACCAGUAACUCAUAAGAUCUGAACCUUUAAGCCUUGGCUGAUGAAGUUACGCGCGUUGAUGAAAACCCUGUGUCAACAGAACAGAUGCAGUAGUUCUAACCUUAAGAAAGGGCGGAAGUCGAGAUGCAUGUGGCUUGUCCUCAAAGAACAAAAAGAGAAAACUCAAAACUGUCAGAUUAUAUGACUGAACCUAAAACAAAUGUUUGGCCACUACAAAAUUCCGUACCACUCGUCAUAGGUUCUCUUGGUCCUUGCAAGAGUAAUCGGUAGUACAACCGUGUCAUUAUUCAAUUCUCAAACUACAGAAAAGCAACGUGAACUCUACACUAUUUCAAGAACCCAUAUACCGUAAACUGCAGAAAAGAUCUCUAUUUUCACAAUGACUGAAAAUCGUCCUGAUAUGGAAGUGCCAGUGUUGGACUGGGGUGGUUAAAGCUAGAAGUCACACGACAUAAGUUAGAUAACCUGUACUCUCCGAACGGUGAAGAACAAAUCAUGGAUCCCUUCUUCUAGCAAAUGGUUGGCAAGUCUUCUAGUGUCCUUUAAACCCUAAAGAUUGGCAGUUCAGUAUUCCAAAGUAUAGUAUCUUCAGCUGUAACAAGCAUAGUUGGAAAAGAGGUGAUGUUGCAUUCUUGAUCAAGGAGUCAAUUACAUAAGUUAAGCUAUUUGAUGCUUGCCUUUGCUGUUCCUGUCUUCUCGUCUCUGGACACGCUUUUCUAUUUCAUGUUACUAACUUUAUUUCUUUCUGAUUGGGUUCCCCUUCAAGUUCUCAUCCUCUGGACAAUCUCCUUGUGAGGAUAUCAGUGCCAGUACACAGUGACCAUGGAGAUGUUUCCAGUAGGAGAGAGACUAGGACCCAAGAGCACAGCUUCAAGUUGGAGGAAUGACUCUUUAGAAUUGAGGUGAGGAGGGAUUUCUUCAGCCAGAGGGUAGUUAAUCUGUAGAAUUUUAUUGCCAUCGAGGGCUCUAAGUCAUGGAGUGUAUUUAAGACAGAAGAAGAUUCUAGACUGGUAAAAGAUCAAGGGUUUCUGGGCGAAUGGGGCUGAGAAUCGUAUCAGUCAUGAUCAAAUGGUAGAGCAAAUCCAAUAAGUCGAAUGGCUUAAUUCUGCUAUGUCUUAUUGUUAAGAUGUUAGCUUAUAUCUGUAUCAUCUAUCCCAGAACAGGUCCCAAUAUUUCAGAAAUUUUAUGGUUUCACUUCUACACCAGAUCGCUAGCCACCUGUUAAACUGAUCAAUCUUUCUGCUCUUAUGCUCACAAGUGCCAUGAGGAGUGAUCCUCAGAUUAUUGUACUUUAGGUUGUGCUUUUUAAUUUCCUUCCUAAACCUUUAAAAUAUUCUUUCAGGAUCUCUUUUUUUUAAACCUAUGAUGUUGAUACCAUUGUGGAGUCUGACUUCUGACAGAUUCCCCCUCCCUCAGAAAAAUGUCCUGCACCCACUCAAACCAGGAAGGCAAUACAUCAUCUCAAAAUCACAGUUAAUCCAAUAGAAAUGCCCAUCUGAUCGCCUGACCAUGGAAUACCCUAUCGGUAUUGCCUUUCCAUGCUUUUGCCUCUUCCCAUGGUGCCAUAGACCUGGGUCUAACUGCACUAUCUCAGGAAUCAAUUACCUCACCAGUUUCCAGAUAGACUGAGGGGACUCCUGUCCCACCUGCCUCAUUCUCCGAGAAUGCCUGGUGGGCAUGCAUUUCCUAUCUGCAUGCACACUUCCAAACUGCAGUGUGACCACCUCUCUUGGUGUUAUUUAUAUCAUAGAGGCUUCGACUCCAUUACAACUACGAGUUAGUUAAUAGUCACAGUAGUAGAGCAUGGAAACAGGCCCUUCGGCUGAAACUAGUCCAUACUACCAUUACUGUCACAGGUAAUUUGUUCAGACUUUAGCCAAGGUGGCUUUUCCCCUUUUUAUUGUUCUCUCACUGCAUGACACACAUCCAGUGAGGUAGAUUAAUCUUUCAGGGCUUGAUCAACUCAGCAGUUGUGGUACUGAGCUACUCUUGGUAAUGUACAUUGAAGUUCCCCACUCAGAAAACAUUCGCUGCCCUUCCUAAUCUCAAGUACUUCUUCCAAGUGGUAUUUAACACAGAGAAGCAGUACAAUCCAGUAAUUUCAUUAUCAUUCUUGAGACUAGCAUUUUAUUCCAGAUUUACUUCUUGGAUCAAUCUCUUUAUUGAAUAAAACUUGACUGUGUGCUAA